rnacentral:rRNA from 1 species
CCUACGGGAGGCAGCAGUGAGGAAUAUUGGUCAAUGGGCGCGAGCCUGAACCAGCCAAGUAGCGUGAAGGAUGACUGCCCUACGGGUUGUAACCUUCUUUUAUAAAGGACUAAAGUGAGGCACGUGUGCCUUUUUGUCUGUACUUUAUGAAUAAGGCUCGGGUAACUCCGUGCCAGCAGCCGCGGUAAUACGGAGGAACCGAGCGUUAUCCGGAGUUAUUGGGUUUAAAUGGAGCGUAGAUGGGUUGUUAAGUCAGUUGUGAAAGUUUGCGGCUCAACCGUAAAAUUGCAAUUGAUACUGGCAGUCUUGAGUACAGGUGAGGUAGGCGGAAUUCGUGGUGUAGCGGUGAAAUGCGUAGAUAUCACGAAGAACUCCGAUUGCGAAGGCAGCUUACUAAACUGCCACUGACAUUGAUGCUCGAAAGUGUGGGUAUCAAACAGGAUUAGAUACCCCAGUAGUC